rnacentral:rRNA from 1 species
AUGCAGUCGAGCGGACAGAUGGGAGCUUGCUCCCUGAUGUUAGCGGCGGACGGGUGAGUAACACGUGGGUAACCUGCCUGUAAGACUGGGAUAACUCCGGGAAACCGGGGCUAAUACCGGAUGCUUGAUUGAACCGCAUGGUUCAAUUAUAAAAGGUGGCUUUUACCUACCACUUACAGAUGGACCCGCGGCGCAUUACCUAGUUGGUGAGGUAACGGCUCACCAAGGCAACGAUGCGUACCCAACCUGAAAGGGUGAUCGGCCACACUGGGACUGAAACACGGCCCAAACUCCUACGGGAGGCAGCAGUAGGGAAUCUUCCGCAAUGGACAAAAGUCUGACGGAGCAACGCCGCGUGAGUGAUGAAGGUUUUCGGAUCGUAAAACUCUGUUGUUAGGGAAAAACAAGUACCGUUCGAAUAGGGCGGUACCUUGACGGUACCUAACCAAAAAGCCACGGCUAACUACGUGCCACCAGCCGCGGUAAUACGUAGGUGGCAAGCGUUGUCCGGAAUUAUUGGGCGUAAAGCGCGCGCAGGCGGUUUCUUAAGUCUGAUGUGAAAGCCCCCGGCUCAACCGGGGAGGGUCAUUGGAAACUGGGGAACUUGAGUGCAAAAAAGGAGAGUGAAAUUCCACGUGUAGCGGUGAAAUGCGUAGAGAUGUGGAGGAACACCAGUGGCGAAGGCGACUCUCUGGUCUGUAACUGACGCUGAGGCGCGAAAGCGUGGGGAGCGAACAGGAUUAGAUACCCUGGUAGUCCACGCCGUAACGAUGAGUGCUAAGUGUUAGAGGGUUUCCGCCCUUUAGUGCUGCAGCAAACGCAUUAAGCACUCCGCCUGGGGGAGUACGGUCGCAAGACUGAAACUCAAGGAAUUGACGGGGGCCCGCACAAGCGG